rnacentral:lncRNA from 1 species
CAGAAACUAAUGUUGUGCGGCGAAGGUUUCUGGGAGCUGUAGUUUCCAAUAAGAAAGCGGCGGGCCUCUUCAGAUUCUUCUCAGUAUCAAGUAGUGCUCCCUGGCUCUUAAGAAUGGGUUUCAAGGGAGGCAGCUCCCACAAAACCUUAAGAUGAUCCUCUGGCGCGGAGCCGCGUGCCCUUAAAUGCCGCCGUUUGUAUUCACACAGCUUGUAAAUAGGAAGACCAGUCCUGCCUGGAGUUGUUCUUGUAUUAAGGAGUAUUCAUAGACUCACCAUGUAUUGAAUGCUAUGUAGCAGGCACAAGUCCUAGGUGCUUGGAAUAUAAGCGUGAACAAGAGACAAACCUCCUGAUAUCAUGGUACUUACGCUGUUGUGGGCCACAUAAUAAACAACGUAAGUAAGUUAAAUACAAAAUUUAUUAAAUGGUGAAAAAUGCUAAGAGAAAA